CUUCUCUGUAAGAGUCAAAAUCUGCUUCUCACUGUGGCGAAAGCCAGACCACGGGUAGCCCUACAUGGAAGUUGUACAGCCAGCAGAGAGCACAGGAGCAGAGUUAUGGCAAGAGGCACAUCACCGGGUCUCUGAUGAGAUCAGCCAUGGAUACUGUGGAGUGAGAAGGAAGUCCCUUAUCACAGCACACAUGGAUUGAGAGUGCACAUAACCAUUGGUUUUGGAAUAAACCUUUGGAGACUGCAGCAUUUCUUGCACUACACAAAGUAGAAGGUAUGGGGUUUUGCCACUUCUUUUGUGUGUUUCUCCUACACCAGGUAUUUUGCCUAUGAAAAUAGAGUAUGGCAAGAAAACACACUUGCAAUCCUUCUUCCAGUUUCGAUAGUUUGCGUCCACUGUUACAAUUUAAGACCAGGCAGAAUAUGCAAUUACUCUUACAAGACACAGACAGGCAAUCCUUACCCAAAGAAAAUGGUGCUGAUCCUACUUGUGCAUGUGGGUAAUUCUACCCAUGCAGGUGACGCUACUGGGAAACUCCACGCCUGAUGCAGUUCUUAGCAGCUGGAAAUGUGGUUUUUGGACUUGGGCCCUUUAAUAUUAUUUGAACCAUGCUGUGGUUCAUUUGCUCACAGUGAGUAACAUAUUACUCUGAACAGACUCCCACUAGCUUUGGGGAGUCUGUUCACAGUGCAAGGACCCAUUCAGUAGUCAAAAUCUGGCCUCAGGCACUGCGUGCGUUAUUACAGCAGAAACUCAUUUUGAGCUGUGCUUGGGGAAAGGCUGCACACCUCUCCAGGUGACAGCCGUCAGUGUGCAUGGUGCUGCUUCCCAGAUCAUCUCCAUGCAGCAGCUCUUCCAUAUGAGCUGUGCAGGCUGCCAGAAGCACAUGCAGUACGCUUCUCACAAGCUGCUGUGCAAACCUAUCACUAAAGUCUUCAGGCUCGUGGGUCCUGCUGGCUGUGUUGCCAUGUCCCGUUUGUGAGCCUUGAUGAGAUUGCUCCUGAGCUUUGUGUGCAUUUAGAGCCCUGGAGUGAGAUGUCAGGGACAGAAGCUGAGGGCUUUGGCACAAAUAAGAUCUUCCAAACUAAAUUUAGGGGAAACUCCACAAAACUCUAUUGAUUUUUUUUUCUUCUCUGUACUUAAUUCAAUAUCUCUUUGCUCUAGUAGGAUAGCAAAUUGAUAGAAUCGUGUGUCCCCUUUACCACGAUGUCAUUUCAAGACAGCAACUGCCUGCUUUUAAAAGGAUGUGGAGUGCCCUCAACUAUUUUGUCUGCAAGAGCUAUGUGCGCAGAAUUUUCAGUGAAAUGUUAAGUGCAGAGUGACAAGAGUGUUCAUAUGGCUGGCUCACUGUGAAACCCGGAAUGUGUAGCACUCACAUCAGUCUGUUGGUCUGAUCAGGUUUCCCUGCUUCACUUCUCCCCUCCAGCAAGGCAGAGCUGGCUGCCACGAGCAUCCCCUCCUGCUGCUAGGAGGAGCAGGUGAAAGAUGAGGCGAGAGUGACAAUGAGGGCAGCAGGGACUCAGGAGGGAGAAGAAAGCAGAGUGACUCACACUGGGGCUUCAAUGAUUGCCCUUAAGUGUGGCCACUGGUUACUGCUCUCACAUUUGCAGUGUUUGAGGUGUAGGAGGACAUGGUCCUCAAGAUAAGCGAACAAACAUCAGCUUUAGGGCAGUAGCCCUUCAUAUUUCAUUCCAUGGAGAGUAUCCUUCUACUAAUACUCCUAGGAAAGACCAACUGCGGAAUAGUCUGUCCUCACUUCCAUAUCUCCCAUCUGUUACACCCAGCUCCUCACACACUUAUACUAGUCCAUUGAUUUCUGGCUCUUGCUCACUAUGUGAGUCCCAUGGCAGGUGUCUGGGACCGAGCCUCAGCUCUGCCUUGUGAUGUGCAGGUACAGUGAUGCUUGUACAUAGGACAAAGCUGACAAAGCAGAAUAUUUCACAGCUGCCUCACAUACAGUUACGGGCACAACCAGCUUGAUGCUUAGGAUUACUCUAACACAGAAUCGUGGCACAAAUUCUUACAGCAAGGGCCAAAGGAGACCUACAUUCCUCUUUCAUGUGCCUGAGACCACAGUGUGUGAAGAUCAUGGUUUUAAUAUAGAUAUAACCACUAAGAGGAGAUUCAUACCUUGGCUGUUGGUCCCACUGUUACUUCAGAGUCUGCAGAUUUGCAGAAGGCAGCAGCAAAAUGGUGUCAUUGUAAUUCCUUGUGAAGAUUGGAACCUGUGCUGCAGUUUUCCCCCCCCCUUUUUUUUUUCUUUCCCUCAAGUCAAGAAAGUAAAUAUAGAAAGAACUCUACAAGAAAAGUUGAGAAUUAUGUUUCUAUAAAAGAAUUUCCAGAAAGUAACAAGUGACUAAUAUUACUGAUGCAACAUGAAUAUAAUAGGUGAAUCUCAGCAGUAUAUCACAAUCAUGAUACCUAUGCCUUAGGGUAUUAAGACGUGAUGUAAACUUGAGCACUUUAGAGACCUCUGAUCUGUAUUCUGUUACAGAGGUCUGAAAGCAGUAUCUCAUUAAAAUGAGGGGGAAAAAUGAAACAACACUCGAGUCUUUAAAAAGCUGCUGCUUUCUGGGAAGAAAAAAAAAAAAAAAGAUAUGCUCUUGUCAAAUUUCAGAUGUAAUCAUCAGCCUGAAGCAUGAGAUCUUGACAGUGUGCUAUUGUGCUAAAAUCUAUAGGAAAGCUGUCUGGACUCUUGAAAUUCUUCAGCAGAGGUUCAAGCAAAGGAAAAUAUUAACUGGAAUGGUCAAACCAGAUGAAAUAACACAUUUCUUUUUAGGACAAUUAUCCAACUGCUUCCAACAGAACACUGGGGGAGGAAAUCACUGUGAGGAAGCCACGUAUUGGAGCAGUUUGCCCUGGGCUGUUGAACUGCCUCCAUCCUUGUACAUUUUCCAGACCUACCUGGAUAAAACCUGAGUGCCCUGAUCAGAUAGAUCUCAGAGCCAACCCAGCAGAAGGUGAGACUGUCGACCUCCUGAGGUGCCUUCCAACCCAAAUGUUCAAUGUCCACUUUUGGAAUUGCAUCUGAGCAGUGGCUGAUAGUCCUGCUUUGUGGUGAUAUAUAUAUUAUAUGUAUAUAUAUAUACUACAUAUAUAUAUAUAUACAUAUAUAUUAGACAUAGAAAGGGGGUUACCUUUUGUAUGGGAAAAAUGAAAUCUGAACAUUUACAUGAAAAUAGAAGGUGCAGGAGUGUCAGCUGCACCCUUCUGAGCUUUCUGGCUAGGGUGGAGGCCUCAAGGGUGGGACACCCAACUCCAGGUCUGUGCUGCAUGACUCAGAGUAGAAGUUUGCACCCUACACUGCUCAGAUGGGUUGCAAAUGGCAAGCUGUCUGGACCAGAGUUUGAAUCAGCUUGCUAAUUACCCUUGAUAUGCAUGUGGUCACUAUUAUGUCUGUGGCUCAGUGAGGCACCAUGGCUUGAGGACCAAGUCCCAAGCCUUGAAUCCAGCAGCAGUCACAGGUGGUGCAGGGACAACUGCAGCUUGGCCCAGCUCCAGAUGGUGCUGAGUCUGUUUUGGUCCCUCUCUGCUUACAGGACAGCUUUGAGAUUCUGUAAUGGCCAGAGCAAGGUCACAUUGCAGCUUUACUCCUUCUUAUUACAAAGCUGGCAUGGCACAGCUGGGGUAGAUAAGAAGCAUGGGAGUAAAAGGAGAUGUUACUGGCCAAAUUGGCUCCUUAGCCAUCUCAGAGCCAGCACAGAGGGCUGCAGAGAACCCCCUAGCAGGCGAGGGUUUCUGGUGCUGCUCUGAGCAACCCCGUCAGAGGUUGGCUGCGAUGCACAGAGCCAAAAACUCCCGACUGUUAAUCCUGCCUCUGAAUCAGUCUCCAGAGGCCUCAAGCAAAGCAUUUCACCUCUCUGUUGCAACUUCUCCAUCUGUAAAAUUGGGAUAAUGACAUUUUACUAACUUGUAGGAGUGCUGUGAACUUUAAUUAAGGCAGCGUUUGUAAAACGCUUUAAUGAGGGAAAGCUCUAAGAACAAGUAGAUUAUUUGGUUAAGCUGCCUAUUGUGGUGCUCCCAGACCUGCCCAAAUAACUCAGAAUCCGUGUGUACAAACUGCAGAUUGUUAUCCUGCAAGCCUUCAAAGAUAAGCAUUUCAGGGCUUGAGACUUGGGUAGAUGGGAUUCAGUUUGGGAGCUCCCACUCCCAAGCACAGAAGUGUGCAGCACCUCCACUUGCUGCCAACCUAUUUUCCUUUAUUUUGCAGAUAACAAACAACAGUGAUUUAGCAAGAGAUGUCUUUAAAAAAGUUACAAUUCUAGAUGGUGGAAUAGCCUGCAAUACCAAAGGCUGAACGCAGGGCAUCCUUUUUCAUGCCUUUUUUUUUUCUGAGUGUAGUUGAAACCGCACACAUAAGGUGCAUACAUAUCUGUCUCAUGUCCUGCCAUCCCAUCCUGGUGGGAUGAUGGGCUGGAUGGGACCAGUACUUCAGCUCUUACAGCCCAUGGUAAAUCAGGACUGACUACACUGUAUCUUUGGUCCUUCAGGUCACCAAAGGCAGACAGACAUAGGGAUGCUGUGGGGAAGAUGUGCCUCCCUCCAAGGACCCUUCCCAGUACCCCUUCUUUUCAGAGUGGACAGAGGUGUAGAUGCCACUGCAGCCUUACCUGGGGACUAUGGCUCUUCUCUGCUCCCUCUUGGCACCCCAAGAGUAUCAGGAAGGAGCAGCUCCUCCAGUUAAGUCAUCUGGAACAGCAGUUAGGCCUGCAACUCUGUAUUUUAAUCUGAGGAAGAUUUAAUCAGUCCAGCUGUUAAUGCCAGCCUGUUGCUCUCUGAUCAAGGAUUAUUUAAGCUAUUAUUGAAAUACUGUGCUCAGAUCUCUAUUAUGGUGAAUAUUCACAGGAACAGUGCUCCUCUUGAGCUGAGCAAAUAAUGUGGAGCUGCUUGUUUUAGACAGAAUUCCACAUAUUCACUUUGUGUUACUUUCACAUUGCUGGUCAGGAACAAUGAUAUUUGUCCAGUGCUAGAAAUAAUUACUGGAACUCAUAUUUUGGUGACAUUUCAAGCAAGCUUCUGUGAUGGAAAUUGGCUUGCACCAUUUCCAAUUCCUUUAGGAAAGCAACAUCUGUCUGGUUAAGGGGUUUUGCACUAGAACUAGUGCCAAGCUUCCUAACUGAAUUUCCAUUCUUUACAUUUUAACCAUGUUUUCAAAUUUCAGACAUCUGAAUCAGUUUUCCUUUCAUCAGAUAUAAAAGAUGAUUGUCUGGAAAGAUGAAAAACCACUGAUCUAGCUGAAUCCAUGCUGCUUGUUUGUUGCUUUUACUACAGACACCUUGGCUUCCAGGUGUCCUCAAGAUUAAGCAACAUCUAGAUUUCAAGAAAGACUAUUCAGAGCAGCUGAUAUUGAGUCAGAACUAGAGUUCUAGAGUCAGUACUAGAGUCAGUACUACAGUCAGAACAGACCAAGAGUAAUGAACUUAAAUGUUUGCUUCUACUGCUCAGUUCAGAUACCUGAUGUGGUAUACAUGGGCAUGCAGGUAAAGAAAAACUGAGCUUCUGAAAUGAGCUACUAAUCAGGCUCAGCAAAUCAGUCAAUGUUACUGAUAAUUAUGAUUUUAGAGCAAAGUUCCAGUGAAGUCCUUUUUUUCCGAAGAACUCCUGUGAAACAACCCGCUCCCUUUUUUCAUUUAUGUGUUCUUAAUGAGGGUUUCAGAAAGGUACUUUCAAGAUUCAUGAAGAAUGAGAGACCUCCAAUUACUGCCCCACUUAACAGAAUGUUUUUAAUUGUUGGGUUUGUCAUGCAUUUGAAAACCAUUGUGUGGUAAAUCCAAUAAUCCAAAUUAUUAUUUCUUAAUCCAAUUAGGCAUUUAAUUAAACUGUACGAAGUCCAGCAGUGCUUUGGGAUUUUAUAUCUGCUUUUGGGCUUGUUUUAUUUUAGAAUUUUUGUUUGCCAUCAGAGGACAGAGCUCUAACACAGAACAACAAAGGUGUCCACCAUGCUGCCAUACUGAGCAGGGUUCUCAAAUAUUCCUAUCACAUUUCCCUCAACAGCCAAACCAGAUAGAAUUGUAGAUCCUAUCAUGAGCAACGGCAUUUUGUUCAUUCCUUCACCACCAUCAUGCUCGCUGCUGUGUAUUCACUUCGGUUUCCCUGUGACCUUCAGCUAACCUUCAGAUUUGUCCAGAAUGUUCCCAUGGGUUUUGGGUCCAAACUCGUGUGAAAGUUUGCUUAUAUAAAGUAGCAAAGCCCAGGAAACAGACUGAGAGUAGGGGAUGCAUGUGAAGUCUGUGAAUUCCACCAAAAUAAUUAUGUAACCAUAGAAUAUCUCCAAUUGGAAGAGACCUGCAAGGAUCUUUGAGUCCAACUCCUGGCUCCACGCAGUAGCACAACAACAUUCACACCCUAUGCCUGAGAGUGUUGUCCAAAUGCUCCUUGAACUCUGCCAGCUUGGGGUCAUGCUCACUGCCCUGGGGAGCCUGUUCCAUGCCCACUACCCUCUGAUGAAGAACUUUUUCCUGACACCCAGACCCGAUCAUCCCCUGACACAGCUCCAUGCCAUUCCCUUGGGCCAUGUCACUGUCAACAGAGAGAUCAGCACAGCCACUCUACCCCUGUGAGGAGUUGCAGCCGCCAUGAGGCCUCUGCUCUGGGUUGAGCAAACCAAGGGACUUCAGCUGCUCCUUACACAUUUUGCCCUCCAGACCAUCUUUGUAAUCCUCCUUUGGAUUCUCUCUAAUAGUGUUACGACCUUCUUAUGCUGUGCCCAAACCUGCACACAGUGUUUAAGGUGAGGCUGCACAGCACAAAGCAGAGCAGGACAACUCUUUCCCUCACUUGGCUAGCAGUGCUGGGUCUGAUACUUCACAGGGUACAGUGUGCCAGGGUGCACUGCUGAUUCAGAUUCAGCCUGCCAUCAAUCAGAACCCCCCAACAUAAGCAAACUGAAGUAUGCUUGAGCUAUAGCUGCUUUGCUUUUGAUAGAAGACCCCAACUAUUCAAACACACACUUCACUCUCCAAUAUGUCUUGCUACAUCUCCUCUAGUUCUUGUGGGAGAGGAGGAAGGAUGAUAAUGACAGCUCCCUUGUGCCCACACCUGGAAACUCUUCCACCCUUCCUCCUCGUGCUGGAGGUGAGUGACCCACACAAUGCCUCCUCCUCCUGUGCAAAGCCAGAGGCAGGCAGAGGAUCAACCUGCCCAAGCAGAGCUCUGAUGAGUUCGUACAUCCUGAUGUGUCACUUUCUGCAUUAGCACAAGCUUCGAGCCAGCAAACAACUUCACUAUCAGCUCUGAAAGUGCAACCUUUCCUUUUACCUGCACACAAAAAAUGCUCUUUCUGAAGCAACUAAGAUUGCCUGCUCACUCUGCUAGGCAAGCAAUAUGACUGCAACUGUGAUUUCUCCUGAAGAUGGGACAUUAGACUUUGCCCAUCUCUGGGCAGAAGGUGGACGUAAGAGAGAAUAGAAAAGCAGUCCUGUAUUUCUCUAAUUUUAUUCUUUAUUCUUUGGAGCUUUACUCUUUUGUCAGGUUCACUUACUUUAUUAUUUCUUUCAUUUUCACUCAUCUCCAAAUGUCUCCUCCAAAUCUCUGCCAUUCAGGAAGACAAGAAUAGGCCCUUUCAUGCUGCGAAGCUACUUAUCAGACAGCCCUGCUGCCUGAUGAGUGGAGGUCCAAUUUUCACAACGGCCAUGGAGUUCUCCUCAGAUGCUAACUACGAUUUGCGAAAUUAUUCAUUAGCUGAUAUCUAAGACAUACAAUCGCACUAUUAAUUAUAUCUACCUAGAGGAGGUGGUAAAAAGAUUCGAGCCAGAAAGCCAAAUACAGACCAUCGUCCUCGUUAGCAUGAGCAUUAACUUUGCCCUGCACCAGCCUUUACGAUGUGCUUUACCUGGGACUAGACUCCAAGCCCACUCACAGACACCAGCAGCCUAGCUACUCAUCUGUAAGGACACAGCCCCGCUGUGGAGAGCUCAAUGCUUGUGUCACACAGAGCACAAACAGCAACUACACUCUGCAGCAAGGUUACUUGUGAUCUGGGCUGCAGCUGCCUCCCUGCUCACCCUUUCCCCCAUGCCAGCAGCAGAACCAGUCCAGAAGCUGUGCAUCUCAGAGUGGGAGUUGCCCACGGGUAGCCCUCAGCUCUCCCAUUUGGCUGGGCAGAGCUCCAGUAUGGGAUGGCUGCCAAGCUUUUUGCUUGAGGACAGGCCUGGAGGGUUUUUGGUUAUGUGUAAGUGAGAUUUUUUUUUGGUCUGACUUUACCAGAGGAGGCCAUAUCACUCUAGGUUCCCUUUCUUAGUCUUGCAUAAACAAUUCUGUAGGCUGCAAAUAUGUGCCUCCAGGCACUUUGGGAACUGCAUAACACCUCAGCCGAAUGUUUUAUCGUGGAUAGCAGGGAGUUACUUCACUGCAAGAUGGAGAUGGUCCUUGUUAUGUAGCUAAAUAAGAAAGUUUUCCAGAGAGAGUUGCAUGUCAGUUCUAGAUUGUACCUGGCUAUGUUCUCAUCUGAGUUUUCUGAAGCCUCCAAGGUAAGAUUUUUCUGUUUAACGUUUGAAAAAUGCAAAAUUUCCACGUGAAUGAAGAACUUAAAUUUUUAUGAGUUGUCCAAAGAAAGAGCAAAGUGCAUGUUUAGUUCCAGGGUUCAAGGGAAGGGCGGUGUGUGAGAAAGGCCACAUCGUGACAUUCAAGGCACACGGGACCUGGCACUACAAAACACCAUGCACAGUCCCAUUUUUUUUUCUGUCAACCUUGGAAAUUAAAAUAUAACUAUUUUCUCACCAUGCCAUGCAGGUCUUUCACAGAAGGUAUAUGAUUGGAAAAGAGGACUUGGCACAUUCAUCCAAAGCACAAAUUUACUAUGAGCUGCUCUUCCAAAGAGCUUGUGCAUGGGCAAGAAAGCACUCAUCUCUUUCCCACCUCCAAUUUUUAUUUUUUAUUUUAAUCCAAGAUUCAAGUCUUCCCCCCACAGCAAAGGAGCUCUUGGUAACAUCCUGUCUGGGAGCCCAGUAGCUCCUAACAUUAGCUUGCAUCAUUAUGCAAAUACACCCCUGCUGUUCCCACACUCUGGGCAGGUAGCAAUCUCAGCUUCCCAGCACGUCCCACAGCUGCUUCCAGCCACUGCCACCAGUUAAGACUGCAUUGCCAUAAUCACAUUUGUCCUGACUUCAGUUUUAGCUUCUUUUUCUGUAGCUUCUGUGGCUAGGUGUUGCUGUGGAUCUCAUGCUCUCUGUUCCUGAAUCUCUCUACUCCAUCUUUCAAAUGCAAUAUAACAUUAAUUGUUGAAAACACACAACAUCAGCUGCAAACAUUUAAGACAGCUGAUGAAUGCAAUGUUGUCGUCAUAAUGCCUUUAGCUCAAUGUCUACAUGGAAACCUAAUUCAGUAACUUUCUGUUUACCUUUUCUGGAUAACUAUAAACCAGCUCAGCAGUUUCAAAAGACUGAAAAAACACAAAAUACUGGUUUUUUUUGAUCUUUGUUUUUUCAUUUAUAAUUUCACUUCUGAGCAAAGCCUAAGAAAGCUUUAGAACUCCUGACAAAAAGCAAGCAGUCCAUUUGUCUUCGGUCAAGAAACACCAGAGGCACUCUGAAAUCUCUUGUUCACUCAGGUCAAAUAAACUACGCUGGCCCCAGUUCUUUAUGAAACAGGAUCCAAGCCUGAACACACUGAAGGCUGGGCUGCACAGGGUUCUAGGCUGUCGUCCCUAAUUGGUGGCUUGAUGGUCCUGGGCUUCGUUUUGCACACUGAGUGCCCAGAGAGUAGCAUGGUCCCAUACACCUGUGGGGGACAGGUCUAAUGGAGUUGAGAUGCCCCUUUUCUCUCUACCUUUCCUCAAAAGACCCCCUCACCUCCUCAGAUGGCAGAAGGGAGCAGGCAGUGACCCCACUCCAGCUCCUUUUCCAGUGAGGGAGCCAGAAAUCUUUCCUGCCUAUCGCAAAACCUCUGCAUUGCUCCACACAGAGCAACCCUCAUGGAAAAAAGUGUACAGCCCAGUGGAUUUUCCAAUUUCGUUCUGUUCAUCUGUGGUGGCAAGAAUACUUAAAUGCCUAAACAGAGAAUACUUACGGUUGCCUGCCUGUUAACACAAUUUUUUACGCCUGUCUCCAAAGACGUAAACAUGGGAAUCAAACAUCUGCUGUGCUUUCGGCAGGAGAAGGGAUUACAAGGAGGUACAUUUUUUUUUCUGUCUUAAUUUUUUUUUUUCCUUAAUUGCUAAGAGGUUUAGCACAGUAAUACAAUAUAAAAGAACUUACAUUUAAAUAGGCUUACAAUUAUUUUCACUAUAUAUUAAUAAUUUGGAUGACACGUCUUACUUUUUCAGAGUUGCCAGGGUAAAGAAAUCCCGUCUAGCCCAGCAAGCUUCACCCUGCAUGGCUUCACACCAGGGAACAAGAAAGGAAUUCGUCUCUUUGAGACUCCAAAGGCUUCACCUGAAGCCACUUAAUGACCUUGCCUAGUCUGCUGUUGCUCCCACCCAUCAGGGUUUAAGACAGAUGUUUUCUGCACUGCAGCUGUGAGGAGAGUUCAUAUGUUCAAGUUUGCAAAGGAGUGAGGCCACUGUGUCUGAAGUACAUCUGUUCCCAGUCAACUGUGUUCAGCUGUGGCUGAGGGCAUGCAGAGCACUUCAGACACAGUGACUAUUAGGGCUAAUGGCCUAAUAAGAAACAAAGGCAUGUAAGUGGAUUUGUUCAUUUCAGGCAGAAUUCUCCUUAGUAGUCACAUUUGUUUUUAAAGUGACUUAAUUUUAAGACAGAUUUCUUGUGCACUCUAAUUUGGACUGUAUUUAAGGGAAAUUAAGUAAACAAACUAGUUGCUUCUGUCUCCUCAGCAAUGUUUUACAAUAUCGUCAAAGCGAUCAAGCUUUCUUACAAAAAUGCCAUUCAAACAUUGCAGUGCAAUUAAGUACUGGGACUUAUAUAGAUGAUACAUAUGAGAUUAAUCAUCCUUUUUGUUUUUUAACUUGUACCAUGAAGACAUGGUACCCAGCACUUUGCUCUUAGAUCAUUAUGCAACCGUGCCCUCUGAGCAGAACCAGUCUUUAAUCAAAUGUCUUUCAAUGUUUUCUUAGAGAAAAUAUGUCUUUCUGUAUCACUGACUUUUGAAAGAUGAGAAAAAUAAAUUAAUUUUGCUGUGUGUUUGGGACUCGCUGCCUUCUGCCUUCUUCCAGUGAUGUAAAGGAGGAUUUUGUGAUCCUCCUUCUCUGUGCUCCAGCCAGUCUAUAUUGCUGUAAUAUUGAGUUUUGGCAAGGGCUCCUGCAAACCUGACAGACGUUUUGUCCUGUGACUCCAGCCACAGGAGAACAUGAGAGCAUUCUGAUGCCUUCAUGGCAACAAGGCGUGGGACAACACACACAGCACAGUGUGGGGCAGUAAGAACAGGAGAAUGUUGGGCACGAAGCAGUGUCUUUUUGCAUUGUACAUACAAAUUAAUGUGUGAUGGGGGAGGAGAAGAGAGCAAUUUAGGAAAGAUUUCCUUCAGCUAGAGCUGUACUUUUAAUUAAAUCUCUAUAUAUAUCGUGGUAGGAAAAGAGCACGUCAGAAAGCUAAGUUGAUCAACUAGCUGUUAAACCAUUUAACGUCUUGAAAAUAUUUUUCCCCUCCAAAUCAUAGAAUCAUAGAAACAUAGAAUGGCUUGGCUUGGAAGGGACCUCAAGGAUCAUCAAGUUCCAGCCUCCCCACCACAGGUAGGGUUGCCAGCUGCUAGAUCAAGUACUAGAUCAGAUUGCCCAGGGCCCCAUCCAACCUGGCCUUAAACACCUCGAGGGACAGGGCAUCCACAACCUCUCUGGGCCUAUACUAAAGAGAGAUACUGCUCUCCAGUCCUACCGUGGAUUGUUCUACUGUAAAGAAACUUGGCUUUGUGUCUGGCAGUCACUCAUGGAAACAAGUCGACAGACACACAGGAAAGAGCUGUGUGCUUCCCCAUCGAUACGCCGUAGAACUGAAAUCAGAAGCCAUGGGGUGAUUAAGUGAUUUGGUCCUUCUUAGGUUUUUCUUUUUUGAACAAUGUGCAAGUUCUUACUCUUGUAUUGCAGGUUCUUACUCCGUGGGAAGUAGAUGGUGUUACUUAUUUUGUUUGGUCCUCAGAUAGAUUACUAUUAUUAGACAGACAUAGAAUACAUUUUAAUAUUUUUUUUAUAUUCUAAACUGAGUUGUUCGCUGCCUUGGAAAACGCACUUACUGAAAAACAAUAGUGACAGAACUUUUCUACUUUGUCAAGCAAUAUUUUAAUAAUUUAAUUGUUUGGUCCCACAUCUCAGCAAAGCCUGUGGUAAGUAAUGCAAGUUUGCAAACUGGAAAUGAACUUUAUUUUUUAAUUUAAAUGACUGACACAGAUUGUCCAGUCCUUCAGCCUCAAUUUUUUGUUCCUGUUUUCUUGGUAUUGGUACACGUGGGACAAAGAAAAUGAUGUGGCAGCCAGGUGAGCAGUUGCAUCUUUUCCUUCUUUGCUUCCUUAGAUAUACUUCCUUGCCACAGUUUUUCCUUUUUUUUUGACUGAUUGGCCUCUGCCAGGUUCUUCAUCGUGCAAUGUUCUUCCUCUUGCCCUGUCCUCUUUCCGCACCUUCAUCUCUGCCUCUCUGAAACGGUUCAUACGAUGAAGAGUCUGAAUCUCCACGAGGAGAUUAUAUCCUUUCUGCCACCAGCUAAGUGGAGCCAAGGAGAAAAAAACUCUUCCGUUUCUAACUGAAAUGCCUUUUAAUUAUCUAAACCAAAUGGGAUGUACACUUACCAAAACUUUCCCCUUUGUUUCAUUUCUAGGGUGAUGUUCAGCGCAUGUUGAAGGCUUCCAGCAACUGAUUCAUUACCCCAUCAUACCAGAGUAGCAUCCAGCAUUGCUGUGUCAGUCCAGGGAGCCUUGUUGUAAAAUUUAGGUCUUACCAAUUCCUGCAAAGCACCAGAAGCCACAGAUAUCUGUCAUCCACUGGUGACGUAAAGACACAUAAUCGUGGUUAGAAAAUAUUUCAAGGAUGCAUUAGUGUUUCACUAACGUAAAUGUGAUAUUUACGUAUAGGUAAUAUUCUAAGUGGCAUCUUCGUGGUUCCCCUACAAUUAAAAUAAUCAGUGGAAAGAUGCCUUCUCUUUUUUUUUUUUCAGCAGUACAUUUGAUAUCUCAGCCAUUUAACACAGCAUUGAAAACAUUUUCUUUCGUGCUUUAAACCUAGAUUUGAAUAUAUCUAUUUUCUAUGAACCGAGUUCAGUACAAACAUGAUAAAAUUCUCACUAAAGGAAAGAAGCACCUGGUGUAUACUGAACUUGCUUAGGAGAUGGAUGGGAGGCACUGCAAAAAGUUGACUCAGCAAGAAAUCUUUCUGCAGAUUUUCAAGGAAAGGCUUUUUGCUCUUGCAUCUUUACAAACAUCUCUGGAUAUACUACAACAGCCCUAUAUGUAGACACACUUAUCCUGGAAUUGGCUGCUUUUCUAUUCACUGAGGCAGGAAAAAAAAGAUAUUUUUCCCCCAGAACACAGGAAUGACAUGAACAGCAAUACCUGCUGAAAUUCAUGCAUACCCUAAUGCUGUAUACUGUAUGCAUACUGUCACAUUUUUUUCAAAUGGAGAAAUACUAAAUUUAUUUCCACGUGUGGCUCUCUUGUAUCACUUAGCAUUGAUGUAUUAUUAAGGAAAGCCACGACUACCUAUGACUGCGUUGCACAUUCUGCAGGAACACACCUACUAGCCCUGAUAACAUGGCCAUGUGAUUUGCAUAAUAACUUUCUGUCUAUCUAAAUUCACGUUUCUAUUACGACUGUGCAUGCGAUUCCUAGUGUUUUUCUCUGCUGUUAAACAGAUGCUGCAUUUCAGACUUGGUGAAAUAGUUCUCUCUCUCUAUUUUUUUUUCCCUUCACAGAACUGCUUUGGGAUCUCUUUAGCUGAAAGAUAGCAUAUAAAUGCAAAUCACCCUUGGCCACAUAGCCCAGAAUUACUUUUGCAUUUUAUUCUUGAUCUGCUUCUGUAUAUAGAGCAUUCCUGAAAGACAGUGAAAUUAGAUUUACUCAUAUGGCUGACCUGCUUUGAGGAAAACAAACACAUGAUAGCCUUGUGCUACAUGAAUGUCAUGAUCUAAUGAAUGGUCCUGCUGAAAAGUAUCUCCUUUAAUUAAUUACUGACAAGACAAUUUCAUUUCAUUUAUAGCUUUAGAAAACAAACAAAGCAAAAAAUCCCAAAGCCUACAUAUAUGUAUGUCACACCUUCUCAAGUUUCUUUUUUCCCUAGUGUUAUUAACACAGAUAUAUACAUUUGCACCAAUAAUUGCUCUUUGUUUGAAUCCUUUUAAGCAAGUCUCCUUUAGUAAUGACUAUCACAAAACAUAUUCUGGCAGAAUAUGCAAAUUCUGCAAAAGAUAAGUCUGUUUAUGUUACUCAGUAAAGACAUAACGUUUACUCAAGAACAGAAACUCUACCUGCAUGCAAAUUAAAUUUAGAGCACUCCUUUGCAGAUAGUUAAAGUCUAUCAGGCCAGGGGCAAUCCAUGAAUGUGACUGCAGUGACGGAAGGUAAAGUGAGUAAGAAGUCUGAUCUGCAGACAGUGCACAUGUACCCGAUGCAGGAAAAUUCCCUCCAUGGGAUUGUCAAUGGUUUGUUCACCAUCCACAAGAAUUGGCUGCCUGUGUUAUGAAACUUUGGAAAAGCAGACAGAAAAGAAAUACGAAUAAAAACAAAACUCCAAUUAAAAGAGCUAGAGCCAAGUGCUUACUGCAUCACGCCUUUCAUUCGCUUUCAUUGAGUCAUGGCUAGCAGGUGUCACCUAUGGUUUCAGAUCCCGCAUAUUCCUGGCACUGCCCACGUGCCAGCAAGGGGUUUAGGUGAAUACUCUCCCAGUUGUAGGCUGAUAGGCAUAGUGGCAAAGCAUGGAUAGUGCUGGUGUGACUUCCAUGGGAGACCGGAGUACUCACUGGGAAGCAGAUGUUGCAGUGAAGAUGUAAAAGCAGCACAUGUAACUAUGGCAUAGCCAAGGACCACAGAAGGAACGGGAGUUUCUUCAUGUGCCUCUGAUGGGGAAGAAAGCAAGCAGCAGUUGUGCUGAGGAAGCAGCUCAGGACAGAUUUACCAGCAAACCAGAUCACUUCAGGGCUUGCCCAGCUGAAAAUGAAGAGAUAAUGUAGAGAGGCAGAGUGCAAACCAGCAUGUAAAUAUUCAUUUUAUCACCUCUCAUCUUGUGAGAAAUGUGUCGUGGCUUCCUCCAUACCUACAGUUGCUCAGGGCUCUUGUUUCAUAGCUAAAGAUAAUUCUCCUGGUAGCAUGAU
ensembl:lncRNA